AUGAACGCUAGCUACAGGCUUAACACAUGCAAGUCGAGGGGCAGCAUGGUCUUAGCUUGCUAAGGCCGAUGGCGACCGGCGCACGGGUGAGUAACACGUAUCCAACCUGCCGUCUACUCUUGGACAGCCUUCUGAAAGGAAGAUUAAUACAAGAUGGCAUCAUGAGUCCACAUGUUCACAUGAUUAAAGGUAUUCCGGUAGACGAUGGGGAUGCGUUCCAUUAGAUAGUAGGCGGGGUAACGGCCCACCUAGUCUUCGAUGGAUAGGGGUUCUGAGAGGAAGGUCCCCCACAUUGGAACUGAGACACGGUCCAAACUCCUACGGGAGGCAGCAGUGAGGAAUAUUGGUCAAUGGGCGAGAGCCUGAACCAGCCAAGUAGCGUGAAGGAUGACUGCCCUAUGGGUUGUAAACUUCUUUUAUAAAGGAAUAAAGUCGGGUAUGGAUACCCGUUUGCAUGUACUUUAUGAAUAAGGAUCGGCUAACUCCGUG
rnacentral:rRNA from 1 species